rnacentral:rRNA from 1 species
GCUAAGCGUGAAGUGAAGCACAUAAACCUGCUGAAUUUAAGCAUAUAAGUAAGUGGUGGAAAUUAAACCAAU